GCGCGUAGCUCAGGUGGUUAGAGCGCACGCCUGAUAAGCGUGAGGUCGGUGGNCGUAGGUUCAAAUCCUGCUCCCGCA
rnacentral:tRNA from 1 species